GGAGUCUGGGCCGUAUCUCAGUCCCAAUGUGGCCGUUCAACCUCUCAGUCCGGCUACUGAUCGUCGACUUGGUGGGCCGUUACCUCACCAACUAUCUAAUCAGACGCGAGGCCAUCUCAGAGCGAUAAAUCUUUGACAUCAAUGCCAUGCGACACCAAUGUAUCAUGCGGUAUUAGCAGCCGUUUCCAGCUGUUGUCCCCCCUCUCCAAGGCAGGUUCCUCACGCGUUACUCACCCGUCCGCCACUUUCCUCUGCUUCCGUUGUCCGAAAACUACCUUCCUAGUAGUUCCGUUCGACUUGCAUGUGUUAGGCACGCCGCCAG
rnacentral:rRNA from 1 species